AAACCCGGGCACUUGGGGGUGCGUCUUCAAAUUUGCAAUUUGCUGUGUUAUACACCUCCUGGGCUG
rnacentral:tRNA from 1 species